rfam:Sorghum bicolor cultivar BTx623 chromosome 1, whole genome shotgun sequence.
GUUGUCGUAUUUACUUCAAUCCAUGUGGGUUGGUGUGGAUUGGAGUGGAAAUUAGUUCAAGUUCCACUCCAAUCCACCUCAACCCAUGUGGAUUGAUGUGAAUACGACU